rnacentral:lncRNA from 1 species
ACUUUUGGCAGGCUGAAUCACUUUGAUAUACUUUUCCCAGGGUUCAAAAAGAAAAGAUAAACAAAGAACUUGUGACUUCAGGGGGAGCAAAGGUAGCCAGGAGUUUAUGAGGUAGGUCAUCUUCUUUACAUUUCUGGCAAAGGGGAAGAGAGUGUCAAUGAAAAGCCAUCACCUUGUUAGUGGUUUCUGAGACUGCAGGUUUGGUGCCCAUGGGCAUUUUCUGGGCUGGCUUAGAAAGAUUUGCUGAUGCUUUUUUUCAGGUAAAGCAGAGGGCAACUUCUGUCAGCAAAAGACCAGCAGAUGUUUCCUUAGCAGUCAGCCUUCACUCACCCGUCUGAAUUAGACUAACUUCAAACAAUGUGACUACUUUGGGAGAGCAUGCUCCUCUGGAGGUUUGCCAAGAGUUUGAGAUUUUAUGAAGACACAGAACACUGCCUAGCCUAAUGGGAAUGUGGUAAUAUCUGUCCCUGUAGAGAAAGAGUGGAAGAAAAGAGACUUUAUUUCUAGUCCUUGCACCAUGUGAGCCAGACCAGAGAUGCCAUCUACCCCAGACUGACCGUGCUUAGCUGCAUCCUGAAAGGUCCACUAUGGCCCUUGCUCGGUCCACCAGUCCUUACAAACAAAGAAUCAGCUGGGAUGACACCAGGAGCCUCAUCAGCAAUGGAGACAGCACCCGGAUGCCGCUCGAGGUCUCUCCACUAGGACUGAGCCCGAUCUCUAAGAAAAACAAGAAGGGCAGGUAGAAGACAACCAUGAACAGCACACACCUAAAACAGCCCCUCCUCCUUCAUCCGAGCCUUUGUUUCUCAACCUUUCUCUGCCUUGGGUGACUCACUCUUUCUUGGGAGGCCUCUUGGACUUCGGUCAAAUGGACCCCAGGCAAGCACGUGACAUGCUUCUAAGGUACAUGGGAAUCUCAGAGAGCAUACACUUUGAACUCAAGCUGUUGCCCUUGCUGUAGUCACAAGCU